AGGCUCUUGGACGGCGAAGCUGGGCAUGGUGGUGGGCAACUGUAAUCCCAGCUACUCAGGAGGCUGAGGCAGGAGAAUUGCUUGAACCUGGGAGGCAGAGGUUGCAGUGAGCUGAGAUCACGCCAUUGCACUCUAGCCCAGGCAACAGAAGUGAAACUCUGCCUAAAAAAAAAAGAAAAGAAAAGAAAGAAAGAAAGGUGGCCCCGUUAAUGUUUAUGCCAAGACAGCCGGCAUGACCUGGAAGUGUCCCAAGCCACAGGGCAUCUUGUUUCCGGGGAGGAUGAAUGAAUCAAAUCGCACCUAUUUUGAGGCAAGCAAGGACUCUGUGACUUCAGGAGCCCUGGUGGGUGGACAGAAGCUCCCUGCUCCCCCAGCCUGUCUACCCAGCAGCGCUUUGGCCAGUCCCAUUCCUGUACUUCUGAGCCUGCCUGUCAGUCCCUCCUCACACGCACACCGUGGCUUUGUGCCUGGUACUGAGUGUCCCGGAGCCCCAAACCACAGGGUCAACCCCAUGAAAGAAACCGGGACUCUGCUCUCAUCCACUCGCCCCCACCCCCCGCGUAAUCCCCUGGUGCUCACACAGCCCCACCGUAAAGUUUUUGUAGCUCCCUGGCAGACUUGUGCUCCUGUUUGCCAGAUCAAAGCCCAGUGACCUGAGCGGCCUGUCCCCAGCAGAGGCCACUAGUCCCUGUGGACCCACCCCAUUGGGAAAGGCAUGGGUUGAACUUUAACCAUUAGGCUCAGGGAUUGGGAUGAGUUUCUACAAAAAGAGGUGGGUACACGCCAGUCCACAGUGGUCCUGAUCAAAGUGAGAACAGACAGCAGGGAACAUCACCCUCUUCAGAUUGGAGUCAGUGGGAACAGACCUAAGAUGUUGGGGAAGAACACUUGGAAGACCUCAGCUUUCUCCUGGGUUGAGCAGAUGUGGGCCCCUCUCUGGAGUCGUUCGAUGAGGCCAGGGUGAUGGUGUUCUCAGCGUUCCUGUGCGCGGCGAACCAGCAGUAACACUUUGCACCCACUCUGGACGGGCCCGGUCUCCGUGCCAGGGGGCACCCGGCAGUCUCCUAUCAACAUCCAGUGGAGGGACAGCGUCUAUGACCCCUGGCUGAAGCCACUCAGGGUCUCCUAUGACGUGGCAUCCUGCCUGUACAUCUGGAACACUGGCUACCUCUUCCAGGUGGAAUUUGACGAUGCCACCAAGGCAUCAGAUGAUGACAGAAAAAAAAAAAAAGACAAGUCAUGGAUCAAGAAAAUAUUCACAAAACAGAAUCUGACAAAGGACUCAUUAUCUGGAAUAUCUAAUGAUCAAGGUCUCUUACAAGUCAAUCAGAAGACAAACAAUUCAGUUUUUAAAACAGGCAAAACAUAUGAGCAAACACUCGACCAAAAAUUUUGACAGGACUUUAGAGUCCCACAGACCUCGGUUAAAAUCCUGGCUUUACCACCCUCAGGCUAUGUGAUGUUGAAUGUCACCUCUCUGAGCCUCAUUUUUCUCAUCAGCAAAGUGGGAGAGAUACGUAACUAAAUAGGUAGUCAAGGAGAUUAAACAUAAUAUUCUGAACUUAUUUAGGUCCCUAAUAAAUGCCAGACACCCUCUUCUUCCCCUGUCAAAUAGAGGAUGUAUAUAUGUAUACAUACAAAUAUAUA
rnacentral:lncRNA from 1 species